AUUGAACGCUGGCGGCAGGCCUAACACAUGCAAGUCGAGCGAGCGGCGGACGGGUGAGUAAUGUAUGGGGAUCUGCCUGAUGGAGGGGGAUAACUACUGGAAACGGUAGCUAAUACCGCAUACCAUCAGAUGUACCCAGAUGGGAUUAGCUUGUAGGUGGGGUAACGGCUCACCUAGGCGACGAUCCCUAGCUGGUCUGAGAGGAUGACCAGCCACACUGGAAAUGAGACACGGCCCAGACUCCUACGGGAGGCAGCAGUGGGUAAUAUUGCACAAUGGGCGCAAGCCUUAUGCAGCCAUGCCGCGUGUAUGAAGAAGGCCUUCGGGUUGUAAAGUACUUUCAGUCGGGAGGCGGUACCCGCAGAAGAAGCACCGGCUAACUCCGUGCCAGCAGCCGCGGUAAUAC
rnacentral:rRNA from 1 species